AGGAUUUGCAGCUCUUCGGGUGAGGAGCGGCGGACGGGUGAGUAAUGUCUGGGAAACUGCCUGAUGGAGGGGGAUAACUACUGGAAACGGUAGCUAAUACCGCAUAACGUCUUCGGACCAAAGAGGGGGACCUUCGGGCCUCUUGCCAUCAGAUGUGCCCAGAUGGGAUUAGCUAGUAGGUGAGGUAAUGGGUCACCUAGGCGACGAUCCCUAGCUGGUCUGAGAGGAUGACCAGCCACACUGGAACUGAGACACGGUCCAGACUCCUACGGGAGGCAGCAGUGGGGAAUAUUGCACAAUGGGCGCAAGCCUGAUGCAGCCAUGCCGCGUGUGUGAAGAAAGCCUUCGGGUUGUAAAGCACUUUCACCGGGGAGGAAGGCGGUGAGAUUAAUACUCUCAUCGAUUGACGUUACCCGCAGAAAAAGCACCGGCUAACUCCGUGCCAGCAGCCGCGGUAAUACGGAGGGUGCAAGCGUUAAUCGGAAUGACUGGGCGUAAAGCGCACGCAGGCGGUUUGUUAAGUCAGAUGUGAAAUCCCCGAGCUUAACUUGGGAACUGCAUUUGAAACUGGCAAGCUAGAGUCUUGUANAGGGGGGUAGAAUUCCCGGUGUAUCGCUGAAAUGCGUAGAGAUCUGGAGGAAUACCGGUGGCGAAAGCGGCCCCCUGGACAAAGACUGACGCUCAGGUGCGAAAGCGUGGGGAGCAAACAGGAUUAUAUACCCCUGGGAGUCCC
rnacentral:rRNA from 1 species